UUCAAACGACGCCGCUUGAAGAGAUUCCUCCGUGUUUAUCUGAUGUAUAUCUCUGUUGCCUCUCGCCAUUGGUGUCUCCAGAGAGAGAGAUAGAGAGAGAGAGAUAGAUCAGAGAGUCGUCGACGAACAAAGCUCAAGGCUCUUAGAUCUCGAUCUCUCUAAGGAUAACUGAAGAUGGCUGGUAGGAAUCGCACUCAUCGUGAUGCAUUUGAUAACCGGCGUGGGUAUCCCCCAGAACCUCUUGUUCGGGGUCCUGUUCCUCGACCUUUGCCACCGGGUCCUACUAUGUUGGAGGAGGAACUUGAAAUGCAGCAUGUGGAAAUCCGGAGGCUUUUUGCUGAUAAUCGGAGGCUGGUAGAGGACCGAAUGGCUCUACAACGUGAACUUGGAGCUACUAAGGAGGAACUUCAUCGCAUCAAUCUUGCCAUUGGUGAUAUUCGUGCAGAACAAGAAAUGCAUUCAAGGGAACUUAUUGAGAGAGGUUUGAAGCUGGAAGCUGAUCUUCGGGCUACUGAACCUCUGAAAAAUGAGUCUGUACAACUACGUGCUGAAGUGAAAAAGCUGAAUACUGUUAGGCAGGAUCUGGUAGCACAAGUUCAGAAGCUGACAAAAGACCUUGUGAAAUUUCAAGCUGAUAACCAGCAGAUUCCACUUAUGAGGGCCGAGAUUGAUGGACUUCAGCAGGAGCUUAUUCAUGCUAGAACUGCUAUUGAUUAUGAAAAGAAGGCAAAUAUUGAGCUGAUGGAACAGAGACAAGCAAUGGAGAAAAAUUUGGUUUCUAUGGCUCGUGAAGUUGAAAAGCUGCGUGCCGAACGUGCAAAUGCUGAUGGUAGACCAUGGGCAGCAGGUGGAGCAUACGGAAUGAAAUUCGGUAGCCCUGAGGCUGGUUUCUCGGCCACUUAUGGAGACGGAUAUGGGGUACAUCUGGGUGCUGCUGACAAAGGUCCUAUGUAUGGUCCUGGAUCUGCUUCAUGGGGAGGAUUUGACAAACACCGGAUGACUAGGCGCUAAGAGCUGGUUGAUUUGCAGUUUGAAUUGCAAGUCAAGCACACCUGCUUUUUUCUUGGCUGUCCACUAGAUAAUGAGCUAGAAGUAUUUAAUGCUUAUCUUGCAUGAGGACCGUCAAAAUUUGGCACCUAUUGCCUCUGGUAUUGAACCAGGUAAGAUUCAUGAAGGUGAAGAGGGGAUACGUGUUACAUCCCUACAAUCAAGAACUGGACGGGGUAAUGUUCAUGGGACUGCUGAAAUGAAUUAGUUGAAGGAGAAAACCAACUCAGAGAACAGAGCAAUGCUUGAAAGUAUGGCAUCGAUCAUAGGCUCUUUGGAAGAAUCAGUGAACCUCAAAUAUAUUCUUGCUAGGACAGCUCAGUGGUAAUCUGGAGUUUUAAGUUCUCUUAUGGUUUUUGCUGGAGAUUAUGCAGCUAUCAACAUGUUGCUACUGCAGUAGAGUCGCUGCUCACAGAAUAAGGUAUGCACAGGGUUUAUGCUAUACUAAUAUGUUGCAUGUUAUCCCAGAACCACUUGGUGGUUUCUUUGAGGGGUUGAGGUAGUGAGCUUUUUCCCUUUUCUAUUGGCUGAUAUGUGGAGGCAGUACCUACCUUAUGUGAUGUCAUAAAAUGACCCUGGGAUGCAAUGCCAUUGCCUCAAAAAGAGUUAAAAACAGAUCAGAAAUAAUUUAUAUGGCUGGUUGUCACGGAAAAAAAUUCAGGGGUAGCUUCAAUUAUUGUUCAAUGAAAGUUGGCUGGUGCCCCUUCCGCAGAGGUAUUUUGCUAGCAUAUGCGAUUUGAUUAUCUUUUUGAGCUUUGCAGGCUGUGGUUCUGUUUUCCUUAGAUACUAAUUAGACAGUUGACUAGGAAACCAUAAUCCCUUAAGUCAUAAGGGUGAUUACUGAAUUUGUUACUUCACCUUCAUAUCGUUUCAAAAUUGGGCAGUAUUUUCUCAUUGACGCGGCUCCUGGUUUUGGUAAAGACUACUAUUAUCACAGUUGAGAAUGACUGCUUCUAGGUUCAGUGCAUCCUGUUGCCUUUCUAUUUCU